rnacentral:rRNA from 1 species
UAACUGGAGAGUUUGAUCCUGGCUCAGAACGAACGCUGGCGGCGUGCCUAACACAUGCAAGUCGAACGCGAAAGGGGCUUCGGCCCUGAGUAAAGUGGCGCACGGGUGAGUAACACGUGGAUAAUCUACCCGACGAUCCGGGGCAACAUUCCGAAAGGGGUGCUAAUACCGGAUAAGCCCACGCAUCCUUCGGGAUAUGCGGGAAAAGGUGGGGACCUUCGGGCCUACUGUCAUCGGAUGAGUCCGCGUCCCAUUAGCUAGUUGGCAGGGUAAUGGCCUACCAAGGCGACGAUGGGUAGCUGGUCUGAGAGGAUGAUCAGCCACACUGGAACUGAGACACGGUCCAGACUCCU